rnacentral:rRNA from 1 species
AUUGAACGCUGGCGGCAGGCCUAACACAUGCAAGUCGAGCGGAUGAAGGGAGCUUGCUCCUGGAUUCAGCGGCGGACGGGUGAGUAAUGCCUAGGAAUCAGCCUGGUAGUGGGGGAUAACGUCCGGAAACGGGCGCUAAUACCGCAUACGUCCUGGGGAGAAAGUGGGGGAUCUUCGGACCUCACGCUAUCAGAUGAGCCUAGGUCGGAGUAGCUAGUUGGUGGGGUAAAGGCCUACCAAGGCGACGAUCCGUAACUGGUCUGAGAGGAUGAUCAGUCACACUGGAACUGAGACACGGUCCAGACUCCUACGGGAGGCAGCAGUGGGGAAUAUUGGACAAAGGGCGAAAGCCUUAUCCAGCCAUGCCGCGUGUGUGAAGAAGGUCUUCGGAUUGUAAAGCACUUUAAGUUGGGAGGAAGGGCAGUAAGUUAAUACCUUGCUGUUUUGACGUUACCAACAGAAUAAGCACCGGCUAACUUCGUG